GCCUACAUGAAGCUGGAGUUACUAGUAAUCGCAGAUCAGAAUGCUGCGGUGAAUGCGUUCCCGGGUCUUGUACACACCGCCCGUCACACCACGGAAGUUGGGGGCGCCCGAAGCCACUUAGCUAACCCUUUUGGGAAGCGAGUGUCGAAGGUGAAAUCAAUAACUGGGGUGAAGUCGUAACAAGGUAGC
rnacentral:rRNA from 1 species